rnacentral:rRNA from 2 species
UAAACGCUGGCGGCGUGCAUAACACAUGCAAGUCGAACGAUGAAACUUAAUUACUUUCUUCGGAAAGAAAUUAAGUGAAUUAGUGGCGAACGGGUGAGUAACACGUGAGUAACCUGCCUUACACAAGGGGAUAGCCUUUGGAAACGAAGAAUAAUACCCUAUAAAGUCAACCAAUCGCAUGAUAAGGUAGACCAAAGAUUUAUCGGUGUAAGAUGGACUUGCGCCUGAUUAGCUAGUUGGUGAGAUAAAAGCCCACCAAGGCAACGAUCAGUAGCCGGCUUGAGAGAGUGUACGGCCACAUUGGGACUGAGACACGGCCCAAACUCCUACGGGAGGCAGCAGUGGGGAAUUUUGCACAAUGGGGGAAACCCUGAUGCAGCGACGCCGCGUGAUUUAGAAGGCCUUCGGGUUGUAAAAAUCUUUUUUAUGGGAUGAAAAUGACAGUACCAUAAGAAUAAGGUCCGGCUAAAUACGUGCCAGCAGCCGCGGUAAUACGUAUGGACCGAGCGUUGUCCGGAAUCAUUGGGCGUAAAGGGUACGUAGGCGGCCUAGUAAGUUAGAAGUGAAAUAAUAUGGCUCAACUAUAUAAAGCUUUUAAAACUGCUAAGCUUGAGAGAUGAAAGGGAAAGUGGAAUUCCUAGUGUAGCGGUGAAAUGCGCAGAUAUUAGGAAGAAUACCAGUGGCGAAGGCGACUUUCUGGUCAUCAUCUGACGCUGAGGUACGAA